UACAGAGGAUGCGAGCGUUAUCCGGAUUUAUUGGGUUUAAAGGGUGCGUAGGCGGACUGUCAAGUCAGCGGUAAAAUACGGGGGCUCGACCUCCGCCCGCCGUUGAAACUGACGGUCUUGAGUGGGCGAGAAGUAUGCGGAAUGCGUGGUGUAGCGGUGAAAUGCAUAGAUAUCACGCAGAACUCCGAUUGCGAAGGCAGCAUACCGGCGCCCAACUGACGCUGAAGCACGAAAGCGUGGGUAUCGAACAGG
rnacentral:rRNA from 1 species